rnacentral:rRNA from 1 species
GUGGGGAAUAUUGGACAAUGGGCGAAAGCCUGAUCCAGCCAUGCCGCGUGUGUGAAGAAGGUCUUCGGAUUGUAAAGCACUUUAAGUUGGGAGGAAGGGCAGUAAGUUAAUACCUUGCUGUUUUGACGUUACCGACAGAAUAAGCACCGGCUAACUUCGUGCCAGCAGCCGCGGUAAUACGAAGGGUGCAAGCGUUAAUCGGAAUUACUGGGCGUAAAGCGCGCGUAGGUGGGUUUGUAAGUUGGAGGUGAAAUCCCCGGGCUCAACCUGGGAACUGCCUCCAAGACUGCAUGACUAGAGUACGGUAGAGGGUAGUGGAAUUUCCUGUGUAGCGGUGAAAUGCGUAGAUAUAGGAAGGAACACCAGUGGCGAAGGCGACUACCUGGACUGAUACUGACACUGAGGUGCGAAAGCGUGGGGAGCAAACAGGAUUAGAAACCCGAGUAGUCC